UACGGAGGGUGCAAGCGUUAUCCGGAUUUAUUGGGUUUAAAGGGUGCGUAGGCGGACCUUUAAGUCAGUGGUGAAAUCCUGCAGCUUAACUGUAGAACUGCCAUUGAUACUGAAGGUCUUGAGUGCGGUUGAGGUAGGCGGAAUGUGUAGUGUAGCGGUGAAAUGCUUAGAUAUUACACAGAACACCGAUUGCGUAGGCAGCUUACUAAACCGUAACUGACGCUGAUGCACGAAAGCGUGGGUAGCGAACAGG
rnacentral:rRNA from 1 species